rnacentral:lncRNA from 1 species
GUGGGACAUAAACUUAAUUAAGGGACAUAUAUUCAAUUUUGCAUCUAAGGCACCAAGGGUCCUCUCCACCUACAUGUGAAGUUAUGAAGCAUUCAAAUUGAAAUUGCAUUCAGACUAUCAAUUUUAGGGACAUCAUGGGACAUAAACUCAAUUAAGGGACAUAUAUUCAAUUUUGCAUCUAAGGCGUCAAGGGUCUUCUCCACUUACAUGUGAAGUUAUGAAGCAUUCACAUUGAAAUUGCAUUCAGACUAUUAAUUUUU